UACAGAGGUCCCAAGCGUUGUUCGGAUUCACUGGGCGUAAAGGGUGCGUAGGCGGGCAGGUAAGUCCGUGGUGAAAUCUCUGAGCUUAACUCAGAAACUGCCAUGGAUACUAUUUGUCUUGAAUGUUGUGGAGGUAAGCGGAAUAUGUCAUGUAGCGGUGAAAUGCUUAGAUAUGACAUAGAACACCGAUUGCGAAGGCAGCUUACUACGGGAAUAUUGACACUGAGGCACGAAAGCGUGGGGAUCAAACAGG
rnacentral:rRNA from 1 species